UGCAACAGCAGCUGGGAGAGGAGAGUGAGAGCACUGAGACACCCAGCCCUGCAGCCCCCAGCCGUCUUCACUACUGACUGGAAACAAAGCUACUUCCUAUUUUCUUCCCUGGUGUUGGGGUGACAUCAAGGAAACGGAGCACACCAAAAGAUCUCCCACCGUCUGUGUUCAGCUGCUACAGCAGCUGCGGCUCUUCAGGAGGCACAGUGACAGCGAGACUCCAGGUCCAGCAGAGGUAAGUGCAGCAGAAGUGCCUGCAGCCUUCCUUUGAGAGCUUGGGAAGAAAUUGUGCUGUCAGCCUUCAACAGCCCCUUACCGAUAUCAGGCUUCGGAGACUGGAGUACCACGUUCGGCCAGAUGAUUAUCAUUGUAUAUAUAUAUAUAUAUAUAUAUAUUUUGAACAAGGGCAGAAAAAGACACCUCUACUACUUCAAAAUGACUUUCUGCAAAAAGGAAGGCUCUACUCUUGAAAGCUCUUCACAAGCAAAGGAUGAAAAAGCUUUCUCUUUGGCUCAGCAGUUCAUUAUCUUCAGCAGCUACCUGCCCUCGCGGUGUUAGAUCCCCUUCUGUUCCUCUGUCCCUCACACUCCUGCCUCCUGCUCCCAGCCCUCUGGGACCCUCCUCUUCCUUUUACCAGCUCUGCUGCCCGUUUGACCUCCAAGUAAGUUGAUUCAGCUCCCUAAAAUGAAGCAGGAAAAAGAAAAAAAAUCAACCCAGCCUUUUAGAAGCUUGCUCUUUUAUAAGGUUAGAAGAUUAAUCAGCUCACCGAGAGGUCAGACACCUCAGAGCUGCCGCAAGAGAAGCCAUGAAACUGCUCAUUCUUUGUCAGCAAGUCGCUCCAUCAGCCUUGCUGAUCUGAAACAUCACUUUCAGAAGCAAAGACAUCCCCAGCGCUGGAACUUUACAACCAGAACCAGGCCGACUUGUGAGAAGUUUAAACAUAACAGCUUACACCUGCAUGUACAUAAGCGACUAAAAUAAGAUGUCGAUGUUGCCUGCUGACACCCAUUAUAGCCACGUAGCUGUCAGCUGAAUGUUACUGGCAUGUUGGGGGUGGCAGUGGGACAGGCUGUGCCCUGAGACACGUAAGGGGAUGCAGCGCUGCAGCAAGGAGGUGUCAGGGCUGAGAGAAACCACAGGCAGGACCAGAAAACACAAGGGAAGAGGAAGGGGUGCACACAGAGGGGGCAGGCAACAAGCGGGGGUUAAGGGUGGUUUUAACAGGGAAAUGCACACGUAACCGUGGUGGGGGGGAACCCACCAAAACCCAGAGGAGCACAGACUGGGGGACCCAGCUGAGAAAUACCAGGGGCUCCCUGCGGUUCCCAGGUGAGCGCGGGCAAGUUGUAAGAGCUCAGCUGUAAGCGCCUGCAGAGGCUGCGAUGGCUCUGCUUGCUCUCGUGCUGUUUCAGACACCGGGGGAAAAAAGUCUCCUUCUCCAUCAAGAGUCCAGAUGCAGAAGCAGCCUACACUGCUUGAACUUCUGCUCGAGCAUCCUGUGCUGGAUUUUAUUAUUUGAGCUUGACCACAGCUUAUCAAAUGCCUUUUCUUAGAUGCAGAACCACAAGCUUUGAACCUGCAGAGAGAGCAAGGUGGUUUGCACUUCUGGCAUCUUCUUCUAACUACGUAUUUGAGUGAUCUCCUGCUGCAGGUUGGGCGAUUUUGUCUUUCUGGGUUUUACAAAAUGUGAUUUCAGCUGCUAAUGCUGUGUUUUUCACUGCAGACAACGCUGAAAACUUUCUCCAGGAUGACAAAUACAUUUCACUUCCAGUAGGUCAGCAGCAGCAGAGACUUACUGGUAUGAAGAUGGGCAUAAAGUCAAAUAAGUAACGCAUUUGUUACGUGUGUGACAUCGGUAUACUAUUUUCCAACUAUUUAACCCACAGGCAUACAGACAAAGAAAUUUAAGGACAGGAAAAGAAGAAAUUCUCCAACAUUGCGCAGUCUUUUCGCCCUUUACCACAGAGAGAUAACCAGCAGUUGUCCUGCCACAGACCAGACAUCCUAUUAGAAAUUAAAAACCAUUUUCCACACCCAGACCAUACCCGCAGUUUUGCCCACUGACACUCAGCACAGCUCCUCCUGACCCGCAGCACUCUACAAAAUCCCAGACCACCACCACAAGGCUCCGCUUGCCCUUCACACCCCUGUUCAGGAGCGAGCAGCAAAGGCUGCGAUUUCACCUCAUUCCCAGCCCUGCCUAAUCGGGGAUUGCUCGGGCGAGGAUCAGCGCGUGCCUCCUCCCCCUGCAAGGAAGGACGAGCUCCCUGUCAGACCAGAAAACUGACCCAGCUCACGGGGGGAUUGCACAACCACUGGAUGGAAGGGAGAGGGCAGGAACAGCUUCUCUCAUCCUUCUUGGAAGAUUUAAACACAUUAAAAGCGGUUUGAUAAAAUGUUUGUCCUGGCCUCAACACGUCGACCGAGAAGUGUGUGACUCGACAUCCAAAUUGCUGUAAUAAAAAUCAAGAGACUAAGAAGUUUUCAAAUCCCUUUCCCUAAGGAAGCCUUCGGUUUUCAUUCCUCUGAGUUUUGUAACACUGCCACUAAAAUCUCCGAUGGGACAAGCCCCAGAGACCCAGUGGCAGAGCGUGCAGUUUAAACACUUGAUGAAUUAUCCCCAGAAAUAUUUCAUUUGACUUUUUGAUAAGAGACGCGUGAAAUCACGAAAGUGGAGGGGAGCUGCACACCAGAUGUGUAUGGCUGCGCGCCCGCUGCGGGCUGGGUUUAUAAUUUUAUUGGCAACGCUGAGAUAACGCUUAGCAAGCUGGAUAAUCCUCCAGUCACCUGCUUUGCUACAUGAGCCGCUCUCGUUUUGUUUAACUGGCCCAAUUCACAACAAAACCGUAUUUACGUUCUGCUUUUAAGUUUGCUGGCAUAGUGAAAAUGACAAACCCUAAUUAUGGGAACAUGCUCAUUAAUACAGAGAGUUGUUUUUUUUUAUGGGAAUGGUGAAUUUUGGGUGGGAAGAGAAGUUAAUUAUACCCACGUAAGAUGAUUUCCUACCAACAGAAUUUUUACGCUACGGUUUGCACAAGAAUAAAGGAGACGGGGGCAAAAGUCACGUACUUAAUCUUAACGCAGAACUUUUAUAAAAGCUGGAAUGUGGGCUGAGCCUAAAAGCUCGCCGAGUGAGCAACUCGGCAGUUUUCAGGAUUUGGGGUGUGCAGGUCUCUUCUACCACCUGGAGGGAUCUAAAGAAAAGUCCACGCAGCCAUCGCUAAGAGCACACUGUAAGAGUGGGGAGGCAACAGCAAUUGGACGUGAGUCAAGCAGGAGACUUACAGGGUCACAAAAAGCACGUGGAAGAUCUUCAGCUCCAAGUCCCCGUGCACUUGGAGCUGGGUGUCUCGGCUUUGUCCAUUCAUUUAUUAAGCAAACCUCCUCCUCCACUUGCACUAGUGACCAAGAACACUGCAGCUUUUCUUUACGCCUCUGAAGAACGCGCAAGAAAGGAGCUGCUCCUCUUUUUGCUAAAUUUGCGGGCAGUUUGGCCGCUGACCUCAAUAGCUGCAGGGCUGCACCCAGAGUUAGGUCCUGACACAAGACAAAUUCCUUCUAGUUGGGUCAGACGGACCUGGCUGCAGCAAAGAGUGGUUGGCAAUCGCUGUAAUUCUGCUGCUUUUCCUCCCGUGUUUCCUAACUUGCUUUAAAAGGAUUCCUGUGAGACAUAUUUGCUGGACAAGGACACUAUUGCUGCAAAACCCUCCUAAGAUGCUCAAAAACAUAUUCAGACCAGGAAGUCAAUCAGCUGGAGCCAAAGCAGCCCUCACAUUUGUUACCUGGUGGGUGCUACUGCUACUUCCCCAGCUCCUAAUCUAUUGGGGCAUCAGGCUCGGUGCCUGCCUGCGCGCGAGCCCCACGGUGCUGGAAGGAAAUGAGAGGCGGGGUGAUGGGGACCUGGGCUGACCUCAGAGCGAGAGGUGCCCCUGAGCUGACCACAACUUAGAGAGGGGACGACGGGGAAUGAAUCACAACCCAGAGGUUACUCACGCUGCUAAGCGCUGAUGUGCGAUAAACCACGGGCAAGGAGGCUGGUGCUCUGAGGAGAAAGGGAAAAAAUAUUUCUUCCUUUCCCAAAGAAAGGAAUUUGAUCGUAGAUGAAUUACUGUGAAAGGACAAGUUUUGCAACUCAGCUAUUUUUGAAAUUAUUUGGGCAAAGGACUUUUAAUGCCUUUUUAUUACAGAUUGCACAGAAGAUUUUGCAUAGCGAAGAGGGGAAGACAAAAAAAAGCUGACAAUCAGGACUGAUUGAUUUUAAAACUAUUUUUUCAUGGAAUGCGAGAUCUUUAGAGCUGAUGGUAGUGUGUGUGUGUGUCUGGGGGGGGGUAGAAUGAGUUUAGGAAGGUAGAAAAGUUGUUCAGCUCUUUAUUGUUUUGUUCGUAACACACACCUGCACUAUUGGAGAACAGCGUAACACCUGAAGUAGCUGGUGAACGACAGCAACAGCUUUUUUGUUGUUUUAUUUCACUGCCAAAUGAAAGAUGUAAUAGAAUUGCUGUCUUAAAUAUUAUUGCUAAAGAAAAAAAGGAAAAGUUCCCAGCACGUUAAAUAAUAUUGAAUCUACAGCAUAAAUAUUUGAGGAAAGCGACUCCCUCUGCACAAAAUGUCUAUUUUAAAGUACUGCUUCUUCCAAUCUUUCCCUUUACAACAGAGGAUUGUGCAGCAUCAAGACUUUUUCCUUCCCCUUUUUCUGAGGAUCUCUGACCAUUCAAUGUAGCAGCGUUCACUACAAAGCAGUUCACUUGCUCUAAAGCUGAGAAUUUCUUUUAAUGAGCGCUGGAAGCAGCUGCAACUGUAGCGUGUGACUCACAGCACAGCACCUCUGAGCGCAGUAGGAGCUAUAGGGUGGUUGCAGCCCCGUUUCCUCUCCCCGGCUCCUCCUUCCUCUCCCCAGUAAGGCCACGCUUGUUUAUAGACCAGAGUUAUCACUGCUGUGCAGACAAAACAACUUUCAGAACCUUGAGAACUAAAAAUGGCAACUCCUUGAUGUUUUUAACGCUGACUGCUUGACGGCUACUGAAGUUCAAAAAUAAACAGCUUCAGUACACCAUGGCAGCUCACGGCUUUCCGUGAAGUUGUCCACUCAAACCCUAAGGAAAGCUUAGCCGGCCAUUUCUAUAUAGAUGAUCACGGCACCAGCUGUCUGAUUCUCUGAGCACCAGUAUUCUCUGGCAUCACACACACAGGAGAAAGAUGAGCUCAGAAACCCUGUGUCUUAGAGACAGCCAGCUUCUGGUGAUCUGCACAGGAGGAAAAGUGAGGGCACGUGGUCUCCCUUAUGGUCUUUGUGUACAAUUAAAUGUACAGAGCAAACAGGACUCAUGGAACUCCUUAUAUGCUAUUGCUGCUUUUCACAUGAAGUUAAAUUGCUAAUACGUACUAAAGGAUAAGUCGCUGUAGGUGUUUAAAAACACAUCCAGCUCAUUAUGGCUUUGAUCCCACAGUUGGGAUCACAGGCAAUGCUGAAUGUGAUCAAAUCGGAGGAGGACCACCACUGAAAAUGAGACGCAGUCACCCACUCAGUUCUCAUCUGCAAUGGGAUCGUAGCUCCAGCAGGCUCUGGGGAGCUCAAAGCUGGAGAAAACCCCAAUAAAUCCUCAUCUGACACACGCCGUUGUAGCUGAGGACCCCACGAGCUGUCACCUGUGACACCUCCCCGCAAGUCCCUACUGAGAACGUGUAUUUGUAAAUUCUUUCAGCGGUCACAAUCCAGCCACACUCGGUGGAUUUUCUACAGGUAGGUUCUUCUGAGAGGACAACUCUUGUACCACGAGUGCAAGAAAAGCUUCAGACAGAAAAGGAUGUGAGAUCCUCAUCCACUCAAGAGCUGGCCACAUCAUUUGUUUUCUGCAAACAGUUUUUAUAAAAACAGUAGCUACGGUUUGCUCAAAACUUUCCCCCCC